GGUAAAGAUUCGCCAGUUAAAGAUUUAACAUGUUCCUGUGAUUUAACCCAAAAAAUGUAUAUGACAAUCCAAUACAUCUACCUGAGUAGUGAAUCGUGUACCGGACUAACAGUAACGGGUGACGACAAACCUUUAUAUAAAUGCCGCGAUGAUGGUGUAUUUAUUCCACGCCAAAAUGCUACGAAAAUUAAAAAAAAGUAUAAGAUUGUGUUUAACAACAUGACCCCCAGCUAUGAUGAUUUAAUCUGGAUUGACUUUCACGAUCCGGGCAAACAAUUGAAAGCGUCUUGUGAUUGUGAUAAAGCAGUGAUAGAUGGUGCUUGGAGUAAUUGGUCUGAAUAUAGUUUCUGCUCUGUUUCAUGCGGUAGAGGUGUCAAGACCAGGAAAAGGAGGUGUGACUAUCCAGCACCAGCUAAUGGUGGAGCAAACUGUUCUGGUAUUCCUACACAGACCGAGGAGUGUGUUCAACUACAGGAGUGCAUUGUGAUGGGUGGUGGAUGGGGUAAUUGGUCUAAAUACAGUGCCUGCUCUGUUUCGUGUGGUGGGGGCAGCAAGACCAGGACAUUGAAGUGUGAUAGUCCCACACCGACUGGUAAAACUAAUUGCCCUGUUAUUAUCACACAGAUCAAGGAGUGUAAUCAACUGAAAGAGU